rnacentral:misc_RNA from 1 species
AACUUUCGGCAACGGAUCGCUUGGCUCUCGCAUCGAUGAAGAACGCAGCGAAAUGCGAUACGUAAUGUGAAUUGCAGAAUUCAGUGAAUCAUCGAAUCUUUGAACGCACAUUGCACUCUCUGGUAUUCCGGAGAGUAUGCUUGUUUGAGUAUCAGUAAACACCUCAAAUCUCUUUUUUAUUAAAGAGAAUUGGACUUGAGCAAUCCCAACUCUUUGCAAAAGGAGGCGGGUUGCUUGAAAUGCAGGUGCAGCUGGACAUUCUUCUGAGCUAAAAGCAUAUUUAUUUAGUCCCGUCAAACGGAUUAUUACUUUUGCUCUAGCUAAUAUAAAGGUCGAAUGUGCUAUAUGCUGACUGAUGCAGGAUUACCAAGUUUUACUAGAUAAAACUUGUAAACUCGAUCUCAAAUCAAGUAAGACUACCCGCUGAACUUAAGCAUAUCAAUAAGCGGAGGCU